rnacentral:lncRNA from 1 species
GUCAUAAACGGUAAAAGUUCAGAGGAGCAGAAGAUCUUCAUGUGAGACACCACCUCAUGAUCAAUGCUAGUGCAGCGUCACUUCUGGGCAGCGACACUUCCAGGCAUUCUUCAGGUCCCUUCUCCUCCUUUUGCUCAACACUCAUGAACGACACAGCUUAUAAGUAUGAAAGAAGAGGCAAGGUUGGGUGAAAAAGCAAAAUUUCAUCUUUAGGUGGUAUCAGCUCUCCCUCCCAUAUACUUCAAGAAAAAAAAUUCUCUGCCUCGUGGUGGUGGCCUCUAAUCCUACCCAGUAAUUGGGAGGUAAAGGCAGGUGCAUCUCUGAGUUUGGGGCCAGCCUGGUCUACAAAGCAAUAGGAUCUCCUAAAAGAAAGGUAAGCAGACACAGAAACAUGGGCCUACAAGUUUAGACCUUGGAGGAGAGGUUGCAAGAGAGCAAACUGUGAACUACGGGAAGGGAAGGUGUGUGCUGGGGAGUAACAUUCUAGCUGAUCUGAGACUUGCGGUUGUAGGGGUGGGCACGGAUAUAGGAUUUCUAUGAAAAUGAUGGAUUGAGAAGUACCUCUGAGAAAACCAUAUAGAAGGUAAGAGGGCAGAGGUGGGAGGAAGAUUCACAGCAUCCACAGUAGGUAACUGAGAUGCACAUAAUCAGAUUCAGUGCUGUCCCUAAAAGAUCCCUGCACCUGUCAGUUCUCCAUUGCAGGCUGCUUCUGAGAGAUUAGAGAGCAAGUUCUCACCGCUGGAAGCAUAUGCAUCUUUGCAGGGGAAGCAGAGGAGACAGAGCACCCCAAAGCCAUGAAACCAAAGAUGGUGGGAACACCUGUCUGUCCUGGCAUCUGAUAGUGUAUUGUACAGUAUUAGAAGUGUGCAUAUUUUGCCCUAUGGACCCAUCAAAAGAAGACUUCAGCUUGCUCAGUUAUCUCUUAGUGACCAUGCCUGGAAGUGUUGUGGACUACUACUGAAGCUGCUCUGCGUGGGGUAUGCUGUCCUGGAAAUGGUCACAGGAGGAGGAGAGAACUGAAAACUUAAGGGGAAGAACAAGGAAGACAAAUGAAAUAUCGUAACUACUCAAAACCCUCUAAAGGAUUCAAAUUAUUUGACUGCAUCAAAGAACUAUUAAAUGUGAUAUUAAAAAUAAUGUUGAACAUGGAUCCUGGCAGCAAGG